AGGAAAUAGAUACCGGUAGUCCUGGCAGUAAACGGUGCACGUUUGGUGUGGGCGCAAUCGACCGCGUCCGCGCCGGAGCUAAACGCGUUAAACGUGCCGCCUGGGAAGUACGGUCGCAAGAUUAAAACUCAAAGAAAUUGACGGGACCCGCACAAGCGGUGGAGUAUGUGGCGUUAAUUACGAUGCAACGCGAAGAACCUUACCUGGUCUUGACAUGCAUUGUGUCUCCGGUGAAAGCCGGAUAGGGUAGGCAAUACCCGCUUUGUCACAGGUGCUGCAUGGCGUGUCGUCAGCUCGUGUCGUGAGAUGUUGGGUU
rnacentral:rRNA from 1 species